ensembl:snRNA RNU6-526P RNA, U6 small nuclear 526, pseudogene
UUAGUGUUUAGUUCAUUAGUAAUUGGCACAUUGGAAUGAUAUAGAGAAGAUUAGCACGGCCCUGCACAAAGAUGCCGUGCAAAUUUGUGAAGCUUUCCAUAUUUUU